rnacentral:rRNA from 1 species
UCCGUAGGCGGGUAAUUAAGUCAGAGGUGAAAUCCCACAGCUUAACUGUGGAACUGCCUUAGAUACUGGUUAUCUUGAGUUUUAGUGAAGUAGAUAGAAUGUGUAGUGUAGCGGUGAAAUGCAUAGAUAUUACACAGAAUACCGAUUGCGAAGGCAGUCUACUAACUAACAACUGACGCUAAUGGACGAAAGAGUGGGGAGCGAACAGGAUUAGAUACCCUGGUAGUCC